GCGUUCCUGAGAGUUCCCUUGAACACUUCAUGAGGGAUUACUUUGUUAUAUCAAGCCCUGCGGAAGUGUUUGGGGGAACUCUCGGGUUCAC
rnacentral:pre_miRNA from 1 species